CCCCGUACUUCCCGUUGGCAGCACGUUGGCUGCUCGGUGCCCGCAGGCAGCGCCGGGCACUGCGGGGCCGCGCCUCUCCCCGCUCCCAUCCCUUGUAGGAUCGGCACCCCCGGCCGCAGCCCCCCCCGGCGCCCCCGGGAUUACCGCUCCGAGCCGCGGCUUUGCACAAAAAACUUCCUGCGAGGGGGGAGCUCAGCCUUUGUGCGGCCCCGGGGCGAAGCCGAGCUGCGGGGAGCGGGUCCGGGAGUGCGAGAUGGAGAGCUCCAAGUGGAGUGGCAGAAGUGAUCGCUGCCCUCCAUACGCUCAGCGCUCCCCGUGCGUUGCGCGCCGCGGUUGUCCGGAGGUCUCAUUGUAGCGCUGUAAUCGUUUGCACUUGAUUAAGCGUACCGUGGGCAGAGCACCGAAACCCCCACGGCUGCGGCACGGGGGAUGCGUGGCGUGGCGCUUUAAUCCCGUGCCUCGAAAGCUAUGGGAGAAGCGGGAGGAACGCGAGCCGGUGGCGGCCGGGCAUAAAGAACUGUUGUUCUGUACAGAUGGUGGCUCAGCGCCGCGAGUGGGACCGCACCGACCGCCCCGAUCGGGGGAAAGGCGCCUACUUCGGAGUUUGGUUAAGCGGAGCCAAUGAAAUAAUGACGGCCGAGGUGCCGGGUGACAAAAUGCUUUUGUUCCCGUUUGCGGCGGUGCGUGAGGGCGCAGACCUGCUUUAGCAUUCCUUGAAGGUCUCUUUAGCGAGGAAAAUUGGAGAUGGUCUCAUUAUGGGAGAGUGUGUGCAGAAUGCUAUGAGGUCUUUAUGGAUGCAGAGGUGAUGGUUGAGUCGCAGGCGUUUCAGUUGCACAUCUGGUAGCGAAAAGAAAAUAAUUGUUCGUGUUUGUGGCUGUGUGCUCCGUGCUUUGCACGGGGGCGGGUUGUCCCCACGCCUUGGGGUGGGUUUGUCCGCAGGGCUCGGAGCUGAGACUGAGAUCGUGGUGUUUGCAACGGCAAAACUUUGUGCUGCUGCAAAAGCGGCGGUGUGUGGAAUGUCGGGGGGUGGGAAGCACGGCGCUGCGAGCAGUGGGCUGUGCCCUGGGGGAGCUGCUUGUGUGCGGUGUGGGCACACCUGGGAGCAUCCAGCCGGGCCCGCAGCUGGAACCCCGUAGGGCUGCAGCCCCGCAUGUCCCAACACAGAGCCGGGAGGCACAGCUGCACCCCUGUGCUCAUCACGCUUCUCCAGACUGGGAAGUGCUUAAAGCAGUUCCCAGCAGUGAAAAGUGCCAUCUGUAACGCUGUCGGCUCGCUGUGCCACCAGGUUCCAGUGCUCAUAAUCCUCCUGGUGGGGAGGACGUUAGCCUCGGAGACGGUGUCCCUGGGAUGGGCUGGGAACGGUGCAUGCAAACCUCCAGCUGGGAGAUUCCGUGUGCUGUCAGCUGGCUGCGGUGCAGGCAGAGCUGCUGGAGCUCUGCUGGCUUUGGGAUACGCACGGUGACCUAAAGUUGGGGCUGUGCCUGCCCAGAGUUUGGGGAAAAGUGGAUGAAUUCCCACUGGAAGUGCACGGGUUGUUCUCUGGGCGCCGCUUCGGGCUGUGAGGAUGGGAAGUGGCUUUGUGUUUAAGCAGAAGAAAUGGGGAUGGUCCUCUGAAAGCUGCACUGCUGCUGAUCUGUGAGUGUUCUGUUAGAAUCUGGUGCAUGAUGCUGUCGUACAGAGUCUGAUAGGAGUCACAUUUACUCUUCGCAGAGGAUGCAGCAAGGAUUCCCUGGCUCUGUGUUCUGGCUGUGGUUAGAGAGGGGGGAGCGGAGCAGAGCUGCUAUGAGGAGCUCCUCGGAUCACGGCGGUUGCACCUGCAGGAGAAGUUUGGGGGCUUUCAGCAUACAGAGCUGUUACAGCCCCCCUAUACUGAACUCACCCACGCUGUGACCCGGCACGUUGCCCAGGGCUGAGGGCUCUCCCUGCUCCAGGGGUGCUGGGAGUCUCAUUCUAUGCACUCCUCUCACCCGUGUGACCCUUCCUUCUGCCCCUCGUGUUUGGGUUUUGUUCCUUCUGACCGUGAAAAUAAAGACCAGUUGUAGGUGUAAGGAUGAAUAACGACGUGUGCAUCCCUUGCCUGCUGAGGGUGGGGAUGCCAGACUUCGCAGCACUCUGCUUUUGCUCGCCCCCCCCCAGCGAGCAGCUCCAGCCCUUGGCACCUCGCAGCCCACACCAGGAGGGCCCCGCUGACAUCUGCUGUGACGCCAGCAGAAGUUUUUGGUUGCUGCCGCUGUUAAUUCAAUCAUCGCCGCCGCUUCCCCAGCGUGCCCCCAUUUGCACCCUGUGCGCUGAUGGUGUCGGAGCCAGGAGUUGUUUCCAUGGGAUUAUAACUGUCUGCUCUGUAAUUAUUUUUCUUGGAUUUUUUUUUCUUCCUAUCUGGGUUGUUAAUCGUGGCAGGACGUCGUGUUUGGGCAGCGGGGGGCUGAGUUGGCAAAGGGAGAGUGGAGCCUUUCCCAGAGCAGAGGUGCCGGACAGGGAGAGCAGUGGGAACCUGCUGGCAAACUUGGUGUGUUUGUUUUCUUCUUUUUUUGUAUUCUCUGGGUUAUGUUAUUGGUAAAGUCGCUGGGAUUAUUAAAAACCCAACAGCUGGAAUAGCAGGAGGGGGGAAAAACGCAUGAUGGAGAGAGGCAGUGUGACUCUCCAUCCACACCCAUGUGUCCCCACUGGGGAUGGAUGCUGGGGGAGGUGCGGGGAAAGCCCCCCUCCCCCAGAGGAAGGAGGUUUCCUUUCCAUCGCAGCAGAAUAUCUCUGGUAGCACGUGGUGAUGCCAGAGCUGCUUUCAGGUUGGAGAGUGGCUCUGGGUAGUUCAGCCUCGCUCUUCGGAUGCGUCGUGGGCUGGGUGGAUCUUGGCACGGCUGAGAGCAAGCGCUGCUCUGGGACUUCACAGCAAAGUGCCAAUAAAAACCCAGUGAACUCAAAGAGAUCAGUAGCAGGUUUUAAUUAUUAAUGACUUCUGCUCCUCCAGCUCUAUCAGGCAGUAAUUUGGUGUGUGCUUUAAGCCAACAAAACCCAGCAGUCCUACUGCAAGCUGCUCGCUUCUGGGCUUUUCUUACUCAUCGUUUUGCAUGGGGGCACAAAGGGUUGCAGGGCUGGAAGUCACACUUCAGUUGUGAGGCUCAGUGAGUUCGGGGUGAAACUGUUUCAGUUCAGCGCAUGGGAAAAUUCUUUCGCCAGCUUUUGUGAUCUGAAGCUGCCUGCAGUUUCGUGAUCCUGCAGCACAAAGUGUGCGCCAGUUUUCUUUACCACGUGUCGAGAUUAGCAGCACUUCUUGUGCAACGAACGGCUCGGUGCAGGCUUCAAACCGAGGGGUAAGGGCUCCGUGAGGUCCAUAGCAGAGUACCGGCGCUGAUUUCAGCUUUCCCCUUUGGCAGCAAUGAUAACAGGAUUUCUCAGGUGAAAUACCUGUGCUGCCCACCCAUCCCAAAGGGAAGGAGGGCUCUGUGGUCAGGAGGGGCUGUGUGGUGUGCUGGGCUCAGCUGCAGUGCGGGAUGCAGAGCGGCAGCAGGGUGGUGUUCCAGGGUUGUGUUCAGCCAAAAGUUCAGUGCAUUCCUUGGCUUUGUGCUUUGUCAGCAUGGCUGUGUGCAGGCUCACACCCCACCUAGGUGCCCUGUGGUUGUUCCCAGAGGAUUUCAGCAGAAGGGAAAGGCAUGGGUGGUGAUGGGCAGGAGUCAAAGUGUGGCGAGAGAGGUAAAGGAAUGCAGGGAGAAGCUGUUGCCAGUAGUGAUGAGAACAGCAAACAGCUUCUGUAACACAUCAGCUGUGGAACUAGGUUAUGGGAUGAGGUUAAUGGAAAAGACCCAAACGUUACCUUUUGUUGAUGGGUGAUCUGAUAUGUGUAAUCCCGUUAUGUCCCUGAUAUGAGUGAAUGCUGAACAGCAACUGCAGCAGCUGGAGCUCAGAAAGUGGGCUCUGGGAGCAGUGCUGAGUGCCCGUGUUCCUCCAACAGCCGGAGCAGUGGAGCUCCCAGCAGGCUGCAGCAGCACUCGCUGUGUGUAGGGUGGGAGAGGAAUAAACAGGACGGACUGAUCAUCCCAACCUGCGAGGCCGGGCACACGGCUCACUCAGUGAAGAAGGGAAGGAGAGCGACGCGCCUCACCUCUAUCAGUUGUGCCAGGACACGGUGGCCUUCUGGAAGGCCCUCAGAGUGCUGCCCGGUGAGCGGUGAGGCUUUGCAGCGAGGAGUCCAGGAGCUCGAUCCGCUUCGCUUAGCCGGAGUGUUGGAAGGAUCGAUACUGGCGGUAUGCAUGCCGGCUCCUGUGAGUUUGCCUGAGUUCCCGGGGGACUGCUUUGCUUUUUGAAUCAGAAAGUUGGAAACUACCAUCAAGAAUGGCACUUGUAGAUAAACACAAAGUCAAGCGGCAGCGACUGGACAGAAUUGUGAAGGUAAGAGGAUAUUCCGGCAUUCCUAUGAAAGUUGACGGACUGUUGUAGUAGAAUUACUUCACUUGUCCUUGUUUUUUACAGCACUUAGAAACUGAGAUCCAGGUCCAUGGCUACAUCUCCCAUCUUCUGGGUUGACACAAACUACAGUCGUAUUGGUGUUGAAGUAUUGGCAAGGGACACACUGAUUCCACUCAUUCCUCCCUACAGUCGUGUUCACAGACUGUUUAAUUACUCAGUGCCAUGUCCCACACCUCUGGUAUGAACCCUGCCCUGCUGCCCUUGGGGUGUUUGGGUAAAGCUCAGGGUUCUCCACUCCCACACAGCCACUGCUCUCCUUCUUAAGGCUUUGGCAAGGCAGAGAUUUGGUUGUCUCAUAGCUGCUGCUUUGUGGAUAUGGAAGUUGACCAUUUCUCAUAACAGUGAAUAUCUUUGGAAAAUGGUUGGAAAGUCACAAAUAGUUCUUGAAGUAUAUUGGAGUUGAAACUUGAUGAUCCCUGAGGUCCCUUCCAGCCCAAGCCAUUUGUGAUUCUGUGAUAGUUUUGGAACAGAUUGUUAGAAAGGCUUUUGUUUUUUGGUGUCUGAUGAUAAGAC
ensembl:lncRNA